UACGAAGGACCCAAGCGUUAUCCGGAUUUAUUGGGUUUAAAGGGUGCGUAGGCGGGUUAUUAAGUCAGUGGUGAAAGCUCCUAGCUCAGCUGGGAAAUUGCCAUUGAUACUGAUGAUCUUGAGUAUGAUUGAGGUGGGCGGAAUGUGUCAUGUAGCGGUGAAAUGCUUAGAUAUGACACAGAACACCGAUUGCGAAGGCAGCUCACUAAGCCAUAACUGACGCUGAUGCACGAAAGCGUGGGGAGCAAACAGG
rnacentral:rRNA from 1 species